rnacentral:rRNA from 1 species
CCGCCAGAGGACAACGAGCAAAGCUUAAAACCCAAAGGACUUGGCGGCGCUUCAUAUCACCCUAGAGGGGCCUGUCACAUAAUCGAUAACCCACGAUACACCUCACCACUUUUAGCCGCAUCAGCCUAUAUACCGCCGUCGCCAGUCCAUCUAGAGGAAAGAAACAAAAUGGACUAAAAAGUACAAAUACUAAAACGACAGGUCAAGGUGUAGCUCAUAAAAUGGUAAAUGAUGGACCACAUUGCUUAAUAAAGCCACACCAAAACUGCACUGAAACACACAUUUUAAGGUGAAUUUAACAGUAAGACAAACAAGAAAAUCUGUCUAAAGUAUGCUCUGAAGCGUGCACACACCGCCGGUCACCCUCAA